AAGUACUAAAUGGCGAGUUUGAGGCUCUAGGUCUCUCCACCUCCGAACACACUGAAAUUUGAGCCCUAAUUCCAUGUCUCGAACCCAAGUCCUCUAUGAUGUCAACAAUGGAGAGGCUAAAAACCAACCGACGGACGGUGGCGUUCAUCAUCAGAAGCUUGAUACUGCAACCCUUGCUUUGUCACUCUUUCUAUCUCUUUGAAGACUCAUGAAAAAUAAAUAAAUGCUUGUUUCUUUCACCAUGAGGAGUACAUCGAAUUCGAAUCUCUCAUCCUUGUUCCAGUAAAUGAAGAAAUAAUACCAAAUUCAAAUGUUCAAUUACAGUCGGACACAAGAAAUGAGAAGUCCGAUUGGAAGAGUAAAUUAUUAUGUGAAAAUGCAAUCAACAAAAGGCAGUGACUCCAAGGUUUGAUAUGAUCUUCAAGAUGCCUCUGGCUUAAUAAUUGGAUGAUUAUGGGUGAACAAGAUAUUACCCCUUAUUGUAGGUACGAGUGAAUUAUGAGCCUUCAGGUUUUCUUGAAUUCUUGGCUUGGCUGCUUUGGAUGUAGAUCACCCUUCUGUCGAGGCAACAAGUCUUAUAUUCUGCUCACUGAAUCUUCGAGCUAGGAGGCUGACUUUUGUUUUGCAUGGCUAGCCAGCUAUUAGUGAGUCAGGGACACACAUGUUUCGUUGUUUCUACCCUAAGUUAAAGGGGCUGCUGGUUAUGAAGUGCAACUAUCCCUUUUAGUUGUUCUACAAAUGAAUGUGCAUAUAUAGUAUGAUGUUUAUUUUGUAAAUAUAAAUAUAGUCAAAAAAAAAAAAAAAUUGAUAAGGUAGAUAUAAAUAGUCAACUUGGUGAUAUUACUUCUUUUCUUUUAUUUUGUGUAGUGGGUGAUCAAAUAAGUAUGGAAUUAUCUUUCUCAA